rnacentral:miRNA from 3 species
AAGACGGGAGAAGAGAAGGGAG